UACGUAGGUGGCUAGCGUUGUCCGGAUUUACUGGGCGUAAAGAGCGCGCAGGCGGUCGUUCAAGUCGAGUGUGAAAGCCCCCGGCUCAACUGGGGAGGGUCACUCGAUACUGAUCGACUUGAAGGCGGGAGAGGGAAGCGGAAUUCCCGGUGUAGUGGUGAAAUGCGUAGAUAUCGGGAGGAACACCAGUGGCGAAGGCGGCUUCCUGGUCCAGCACCGACGUUCAGGCACGAAAGCGUGGGGAGCAAACAGG
rnacentral:rRNA from 1 species